GAAUGUGAGACCAAUGGAGCUACAAUAUCUGUCAUGGUUUUUCAGUUGAACUGGCUGGCUAGGCAGGUGUCCUAUUUAUCCCUCCUCACUCCAUGUGCAUCCAUCCUGAAGCUGUGCCCUGGAUGGAAGAGGAUGGCAUUCCCCAAUAGAGGAGGAUAUUUCUUGGGUCAAGGGUAAGAACCUCCAAACAAGUUCUCAAGGCCUGCAAUAUUUGGUCCUGGCUGUGGCCUGGAAUC
rnacentral:snRNA from 1 species